GGUUUCAGUAUUCCCCGUGCAAAGCAGGUUGGGGUGUUUCUUUCGUCAGUGCCAGUGCAGAUUUUCCUCGGAGGAGGCAACAGAAGAAGGUGGCAGUUACAAGGCCCAAAGGCACUGCUGCAAAGGGUUUUGUCCCAAGCAAAAGGAAUGCAAGAUU